rnacentral:rRNA from 1 species
AGCAGCCGCGGUAAUUCCAGCUCCAAUAGCGUAUAUUAAAGUUGUUGCAGUUAAAAAGCUCGUAGUUGAAUUUCGGGAUUGACACAUCGGUCGUGCCUUAAGGGGUAUGAACUGGUGUAGUCAAUUUCUCACCUUCUGGAGAACCGCGAUGCCCUUAAUUGGGUGUCGCGGGGAACCAGGACCUUUACUUUGAAAAAAUUAGAGUGUUUAAAGCAGGCAUUUUGCUUGAAUACAUUAGCAUGGAAUAAUAAAAUAGGACGGCAUGAUUCUAUUUUGUUGGUUUCUAGGAUCACCGUAAUGAUUAAUAGGGAUAGUUGGGGGCAUUAGUAUUCAAUUGUCAGAGGUGAAAUUCUUGGAUUUAUUGAAGACUAACUACUGCGAAAGCAUUUGCCAAGGAUGUUUUCAUUAAUCAAGAACGAAA